UAAUAAAUAUGGCAGUGCCAUGUUGGCAUAAACAACUUUAACACUGUUACAAAUAUGCGCCACACUGUGAACCCACACCAAACAAGAAUGACGAACACAUUUCGGGAGAACAUCUGCACCGUAACACAACAGGACAAAUACCUAGGAUCCCUUGCAGCACUAACUCUUCCGGGACGCAACAAUACACCCCCCCCCCCCCCCCUGAAUGGUUGAUUUAUUCAUUAUUUUAUUUUAAAAUGUAUUAGCCUGUGAAAAAAGUUCAUGUUGAUAUUUACCUCAGAAGGCUGCAAAUAGAAAAGAGGCAUUUAAUAUAUAAUUAAAUUGUAUUUUAAAUGCCAUUGCUAUUUUUGAAUUAUUAUUAUUUGGUACUGGAUUUUGCAUGUCACUAUAAAGUUAUAUAGGCCUUGUAUGUUCAAUAUUCAAUGCAAAACUGGUUUGGGUCCCUAUUAAAAGGUUCAUUUGUUCAACCUUGGCCCGCAGCUUUGUUCAGUUUUAGAGUUUGUCCCACUCUGUAUUUGAGUUUGACACCCCUGGUGUAGAGUGCGAGUGCUGGGCUGGUAAAUAGUGGUAGUGGGAUCUGUUCCUGGCUCAGGAGGCUAUGGUUUAUUUAUUUUCUUAAUUUUGACAUUAGGCCAGCCAGCGACAGGAACCCCGUGCUGCCCGGAAGAGCCAGCAGCAGGCCGCAGAGGACAGCCAGCGAGAGACCACACCCCACACGGGCAAAAAGCCGGGACGCCCCGCCCGAGGGGCCCAGAGACUCCCCUCACCUGGACGGGAAGAUCGCUCCUACCCCACCAGCAACCGGGCCCCCACGAGCCCAGCCCCUGAAGAGCACAUGGGGCCCGCCCCAGGCCACCCCAUGCAAGUCGGCCGCCCAGCACGGGACCACAGGAACCCAACGAUGGAGAUGGAACAACCCGCAACCGCCCUGUCGAUUCCUUAAAUUUAAAUAAUAAUCAUAAAACAUAAAAAUAUAUAUAAAAAAAAAUAAUUAAAAGAAGAUCACAGACGUGAUGACACACAAGGUCACUACCCCAGCAGCACCUCGGAAUACCUUAUGGUGCACCAAGCUACCACAAUAGACGCGGGGACUAGACCCUGCAGGCCCCAACCAAGACGGGCACCCGGAAGGGAUGGACUGUGGGACCCAGGAGCUCCAGACACGCAUUGUUGGAAUUGGGGGGUUAAAACACCAAAAUGAUUCCCGGGGGCGCGGCCACUAAUGCUGCUCACUACUCCCCUCACCUCCCAGGGGGUAAACAAGGGGGAUGGGUCAAAUGCAGAGAUGAAUUUCACUACACCUACUCUAUUUUUGUAAAAAGAAACUGUUAAAUGAAUUCCCACGUUCAUUAAAUUAAUGGAAAUGUGUUCAAAACCGGAACGUAAGUGCUUCAAAAUAAAAGCUGGUGGAAUCUCUCUGUGAGCUGACUCGCUGCAGUCGGUUACAUUUCGAAACGGUCUGCAUUACUUGAUUUACAAUAAAUUGAUUGUGGGGGUCUACUAAUCAAUUUUAAAAUCGUCCCUGUUCUAAUUGCCAAGCAUCUUAAUCGAUUAUUCCCCUUACCACUAAUAUUUAUAUAUAUUUUUUUUAAUUGGUCAGCUUGAAGCGUCCCUCUGUCUCUGACUCACUCGAGGUCAUGUGACACGAGUGUCUGUAAGGAUUUUACUUCCUGGUUUCGGCGACGAAUGGACGUCUGUCAGGAGUACAAAGUUCAUUGUACACGACCACACUUCAGUCCCAUAAGCUAAAAUUGAUACUCGCUGACAUGGCAAGUCUACCUGCGAAGGCGCGGGCCUCGUCCGUGGGCACGGCCCUCAGGUGGCGCAGGUCGCUCUUGUUGCCCACCAGCAUGAUGACGAUGUUGUUGUCAGCGUGGUCCCUCAGCUCCUUCAGCCAGCGCUCCACGUUCUCAUACGUCAGGUGCUUGGCGAUGUCGUAGACCAGGAGCGCCCCCACUGCGCCCCUGUAGUAACUGAAGUCCACAAAGGGAUCGCAAUUAGGUCAUCGUCAUAGAAAAUAUGCGGCUUGGACAGAAGAGGUCAUAUUCAGCGUUUUAUAUGUAUUUUAUAUGGAUAUAUACAUAUAUCCAUAUUUAGAAGUUAUUUCUUUUCUUUAGUCAUAUUUGAAAUAGCUAGUGUUCCAUCUUGUAGUCUUUUUAUCUUUUCUAAUUAUCUCCUCACCGAUGGUACACUGUGGACUGCCUUGAGCUUGGAAUGCAGGAGUAGCAAUACUCCUUUUUCCUAUCUCAAGGUAGUCUACAGCUGAGGAAAACUAUGGAUGUGUGGAUUCACUCUGAAGACAAGACUUCCGCAGUGUUUUCAGAUCAACUGGGCGAUGCGAAUUGAAUGUGUUGUUUUUUAGGUUGGUCUCUCCAAAGCUUUGGAAUAAAUUGCAAAAUACCUAUUCUGUUCUGGGUGUUCAUUUAAAAUCAGCUUAUGUGUCAUCAAAAGAACUUGGGAUUUGACCAGCAACUUAAAUUCCCUCGGAGGAACAUUUGGUCCAAACGCAACAUAACCAAACUGUAGCAACAUUGUUAUUGUAAGAGGAACUAUUUCUCUAGCGUGCUAACACAGCGACAUGCUAUGGUAUUAGCCAUAAAAGCUAACUAUAGAAACUGAUAAGUUAGCUUCUAUGUCAGCACGAACACUGCGAUAGGACACCAAUUUGUACUGAGUGAAAAACAUGAACAAUGAUAUUACCGUAUCUGUAAAGUAUUAUUUCAUGUUUUGUUUGUACACUAAACAGUGUAUGUACUGUCAUGAUCAAUAUUAAAGUGACUCCCUCCAUG